AUGCAAAAUAUCAGUUUGAACAACUCCAUGUUUGCUUUCACGUCAAUGGGAGGAAAGGUAGACACAGAAAUAAACAAUGGCCGCAGACGUUAUAUAUUUGUACUGAAUGGCCAAAAAUACCACAGAAUAGGUACUCUAUUACCUGAAGGUAAGGAUGAACCACGCACAACGCAGUUGUACACAUAUGACACUAUAAAUGAGGUAAAAUCAGGAUUGAAACGUCAACAUCAGAAGACAAAAGGGAGUCAAGAGAUCCUCACUUCGUCGGGGGCCUUAAAAAUGUUGGAUAGAGAUAAUAGACUAGCAAAAACACUCAGAAUGGCAAGGGAUAAAUUUGGAAAGGUGACUAUCACAACGUGA
rnacentral:rRNA from 1 species